rnacentral:rRNA from 1 species
UACGGAGGGUGCAAGCGUUAUCCGGAUUUACUGGGUUUAAAGGGUGCGUAGGUGGAUUUGUAAGUCAGUGGUGAAAUCUCCGAGCUUAACUCGGAAACUGCCAUUGAUACUAUAAGUCUUGAAUGUUGUUGAGGUGGGCGGAACGGGUCAUGUAGCGGUGAAAUGCAUAGAUAUGACCCGGAACACCGAUUGCGAAGGCAGCCCACUAAGCAAUGAUUGACGCUGAGGCACGAAAGCGUGGGGAUCAAACAGG